rnacentral:rRNA from 1 species
AGAAUCAACGCUGGCGGCGUGCCUAACACAUGCAAGUCGCACGAGAAAGGGACUUCGGUCCUGAGUACAGUGGCGCACGGGUGAGUAACACGUGAAUCAUCUACCUUCGAGUGGGGAAUAACUGGGAGAAAUCUCAGCUAAUACCGCAUAAUACCUACGGGUCAAAGCAGCAAUGCGCUUGAAGAGGAGUUCGCGGCAGAUUAGUUAGUUGGCGGGGUAAUGGCCCACCAAGACGAUGAUCUGUAUCCGGCCUGAGAGGGCGCACGGACACACUGGAACUGAAACACGGUCCAGACUCCUACGGGAGGCAGCAGUGGGGAAUUUUUGCGCAAUGGGGGAAACCCUGACGCAGCAACGCCGCGUGGAGGAUGAAAUAUCUUGGUAUGUAAACUCCUUUCGAUGGGGAAGAUAAUGACGGUACCCAUAGAAGAAGCCCCGGCUAACUUCGUGCCAGCAGCCGC